CCUACGGGAGGCUGCAGUAGGGAAUAUUGCUCACUGGGGGAAACCCUGAAGCAGCAACGCCGCGUGGAGGAUGAAGGUUUUCGGAUUGUAAACUCCUCUUGCUAGAGAAGAUAAUGACGGUAUCUAACGAAUAAGCACCGGCUAACUCCGCGCCAACAGCCGCGGUAAUACGGAGGGUGCAAGCGUUACCCGGAAUCACUGGGCGUAAAGAGCGCGUAGGCGGGACAGCAAGUCAGAUGUGAAAUCCUAUGGCUUAACCAUAGAACUGCAUUUGAAACGGUUAUUCUAGAGUAGGGGAGAGGUAGGUGGAAUUCUUGGUGUAGGGGUAAAAUCCGUAGAGAUCGAGAGGAAUACUCAUUGCGAAGGCGACCUGCUAGAUCAUAACUGACGCUGAUGCGCGAAAGCGUGGGGAGCGAACAGGAUUAGAUACCCCAGUAGUC
rnacentral:rRNA from 1 species